UACGUAGGGGGCAAGCGUUAUCCGGAUUUACUGGGUGUAAAGGGAGCGUAGACGGCAAUACAAGUCGGAAGUGAAAUACCCGGGCUCAACCUGGGAACUGCUUUGGAAACUGUAUGGCUGGAGUGCUGGAGAGGUAAGCGGAAUUCCUAGUGUAGCGGUGAAAUGCGUAGAUAUUAGGAGGAACACCAGUGGCGAAGGCGGCUUACUGGACUGUAACUGACGUUGAGGCUCGAAAGCGUGGGGAGCAAACAGG
rnacentral:rRNA from 1 species